rnacentral:lncRNA from 1 species
AGUGUAAAGAUACUAGUAUGGCAUGCAGUGGAGUGUAGGAGUACAUUCGCACCGAACGUGAGCAACUACGGAGCACUCUGCUGUCAAGAGUAGCUCACAAAUAGUAUGGGUCUAAGUGUUCCUCCGACCUGAGAUUACUAUGAUGACUUGCAAGCAACUCACUGUACUUUGAUGUCAGACUAUUUGAAUUUUUAAUUCAGUGACAGA